AGCAGCAAUGCGCUUGGAGAGGAGUUCGCGGCCGAUUAGUUAGUUGGCGGGGUAAUGGCCAACAAGACGAUGAUCGGUAUCCGGCCUGAGAGGGCGCACGGACACACUGGAACUGAAACACGGUCCAGACUCCUACGGGAGGCAGCAGUGGGGAAUUUUGCGCAAUGGGGGAAACCCUGACUGCAGAAACGCCGCGUGGAGGGAUGACAAUAUCUUGGUAUGUAAACUCCUUUCGAUGGGGAAGAUUAUGACGGUACCCAUAGAAGAAGCCCCGGCUAACUUCGUGCCAGCAGCCGCGGUAAUACCGAGGGGGGCAAAGCGUUGUCCGGAUUUAUUGGGCGUAAAGGGUGCGUAGGCGGUAUUGGCAGUCUUGUGUGAAAUCUUCGGGCUCAACCCGAAGUCUG
rnacentral:rRNA from 1 species